rnacentral:rRNA from 1 species
GUCUUUUUGUAUAAAAUAUAAAGUCUAGCCUGCCCCCUGAAAUUUUUAAAUGGCCGCAGUAUUUUGACUGUGCUAAGGUAGCAUAAUCAUUAGUUUUUUAAUUGAAAGCUGGAAUGAAGGGUUGGAUGAAAAAUUAACUGUCUCUUUAUAAUUUAAUUAGAAUUUUAUUUUUAAGUUAAAAAGCUUAAAUAUAUUUAAAAGACGAGAAGACCCUGUAGAGUUUUAUAAAAUUUUAAAUAUUAAUUUUUUAGUAAUUUAUAAAUUAAUUUUAAAAUAUAUUUAAUUGGGGUGAUUAAAAAAUUUAAUUAACUUUUUUUAUAUAAUUAUAUUAAUGAAUAAAUUAUUGAUCCAAAUUUUUUGAUUAUAAGAUAAAAUUACCUUAGGGAUAACAGCGUAAUUUUAUUUGAGAGUUCUAAUCGAAAAUAAAGUUUGCGA